GCAGCAGCAGGCGCGGACGUCGGAGCUGCAGCCCUGCCAUGCCUGCAGAUCGCCGGGCGAAUGAAGACUGCUGUUCCUGCCGGGGCAGGCUGGACCUGCCCUGGGCCGCUCGAGGAUGGCUCAUCUGCUAGGCAAACUCUUGGAAAGCCAACUGCAGACAAAAAGAGAGAGAAAUGUUUCUGUCAUCCCAGCAUCCUACAUGGCAUUUGAGGGCAAAUCAGCAUGCUCGGAGCUGCUCCUGCUGGUUUCCUGAUACUGUGUGCAGCAGGUGGAGGAUUUCUUGGCAUAUGUUGAUGACAGUAUUCAUCACAUUUUCAGAGGUGCAUUAGCAGGGAGCUGGAUCAUCAAUGGAGCAGCCAGGAUGUGAACCUGUGCCCACAUUGGGUGCCAACACCGCAGUUGUCAGCCUUACCCAUGACACCACAGCUG